AACUCCCUGUGAGCACAGGUCUGUUGCUUUGUGGUCAAGCCUUCCAGGUGAUAAAUAGGCUACAAAAGUUUUCUAUGAAAAAAGCAGCAUAAUAGCACCAAGUAUGGGUUUCUAAGAGCACCUGAAGUCUUCCAGUACAAUGUCCUCCAGAAUAUCCCAAAACGUGAUGGGACAUCAGUGUCAACACACGAAGUUCUAGCAAAUGUGUCAGUAUAAAUGUGAUUGUCGAGUGAAGCAGUGGCAAAAAAAAUGCAUUUGCAUGGGACAGCUGUUAGUCUCACUGCGUGAAAAAGCACAGAUUCAACACAAGGUCUUAGUAACUCGAUGGCUAUGCAGAGGAAAGAUCAAUAGCAUCUGAUUUUUAAUCAACAGCUGACACAGAAGACAACUCCUCUGCCUAGAUUCAUAUGAAGAUAGUGAGGUGAGUCACAGCAAUAGUUAGUCACGUUGAAAACAGGAAAACACACACGAACACUAAUACCCUCCUAUUCAAAUAUUAUUUCAGGAGAUAAAGGAAUACAAGCUGUGACUCAGUUCAUGUUCUUCGGUGGUACAAUACAACCUCAUGAAAACAUCUGACUGACAAACUAUGGCAACAAAUGCUUUCUUCAACUUACAGCAAGGCUCAGCAUUAGCAACAGCAACUCCACAAAUUGAAAACUAAGUUGCUUCCCCCCCCCCCGCCCCGCAGUACUGCUGCUUGACAGCAUUGGAAUAGAAAAGCUGGAAGCCUGCAGAAGGCAGAAAGCAACUAAGUGCCUUUGGAAAUGCUCAUCUCUUCAAAAUGGUAGCUGUUGAAAUGGAAUGACAAUAGACUACAAUUUCAAGUUCAACAGUAACUUAGCUGUAAAGUUUCACAACACAAACAGAGGACAGGUAUCUGGCAUGUGUGUUAUGCACCUAAACACGUAUUAUGCCAAAGCAGUCAUCAUAUUACCAAGCAGAAAAGGAACACAUGAAGGAGGCUGACAGAAAGCUCAUAGCUUGCUCUUCUGACAUCGAAUGCCAGUGACACGCUAAGGACCUGAGACACACAACGGAGCCUCAUCCGUGCAACUGGUGAUACUGGGGUAUGAGGAGAAUUGAAUUGACAACGUAAGGGUUUCUUUAAGUCUCAGUGCUUUUUAUACAAAUUGGAUCUUACUGUUAAAGUACCAACCCGAAUAACUUCUGAAAGAAAACACGAGCAUGAAACGUUAGAAAUAAGCUUCCCUAUCCUAGUUUUGUACAAUAAAACACAAAUAGCUGCAGCAAGAACUAGGACAAGAAACUAACUAGCCACAACAUCCCUAACUUUAUGCUGAUGAAAAGCAAACAGACAGACCUGCCAACUUCAUUCUUUUGCCACUCGCACUGAGAAAGCACAAUGAACGGAACAUAUUACUCACGUUUCCUCACACUGAGGCCAAGAGCUUUCCUCAACUGCACUAUCAGUCGAAUCCAGAAUCCUGAAAGCUCUCCCUGUAACAAAUGCUGCUUUCAUAUAAAUAAAACGCUGCCGCACAAACUCAGUAAGCAUGCACGGCAAAAGCAGAGAGCUUGCAGGUGGGGCUGGGCAUGCACGCCCAUUUCUCCCCAAAUAGCCCAGUUUUGUUGUCGCUGAGAGCUGUCAAGCAGCAGGCAAUCCCUUCUUGUAAUUUCUUGUCCGCAUUCUGCGACUUGCCAGGUUUGCAGGGCUGCUGCCUGCCCCGCAGCACGCUCUCUUGCUGGGGAAAGAAGCACCACGCUACAGGCACAGCUGCUCUCCUCAGCAGAGCGCUGCCAGCAGAAAUGCUGCUUCAACAGCAAGAACAAGAUGCUGAGCUGCGGAGCACCAGCCAAGAGCUGGCAGCAAUCAGAGAAGCACCGGAAAACCAGUCCGCAGCACUCCCGCUCGAAUCCGACGUGAAGAACUCCGGUCUGACUCACAUCUUAAGAGCCGGAGAGCACUCCCCAGGCAGUGGUGGAGAGGCUAAUAGCACUUGGUAGCUGCACCCACCACCUGCACUCGGCGGCUGUCUGCCUCCAAAGGACAGGUACGGCAUGUGGUGUAGCAUGUCCUGAGACCUGUAUGCACUAAAGAACUGUUCAGAGCCAUUCUAGUGGACUAAAAUUAAUGCUAUUGAUUGAAAAAUGUGUAAAGAAUCAUAAAAUACCUGGCUGUGCCACGUGC